CGUGAACCCAUUAAGGAUCUUUUAGAUGCUGUCAAGGCUAUCAAGCCAACAGUUCUAAUUGGUUCAUCUGGAGUGGAAAGAACAUUCACAAAAGAGGAUGGCGUCCUUCAAUGAGGUACUCUCUCUCUCUAUAUAUACAAAAUUUUCUCGCAAGACUUUAAAUGAAUAGCAUGCAGAACCCUCUCAUUAUGGCUCUCUCCAACCCAACCUCACAAUCUGUGCACGGCUGAAGAAGCUUACACCUGGAGUCAGGUAAAUAUAAAUUAUGUAUUUUUUCUUAUCCUAUAAUUUGAUGCUUUAAUGUAAAGUAAUGUCUGAUUGGAUUUAAAUACAGAACUAAUAAAUUUCUUUGUUCUAAAAAAAGGGACAUGCAAUUUUUGCCAGUGGAAGUCCAUUUGACCCUAUGGAAUACAACGGCAAAGUCUUGUACCUGGCCAGGGUCUUUUACUUUGUACUUCUAGUUUUUUGGUAUAAAAUCCUUAAUACAUCUAAGAUGGAUACUAAAAGCUGAUUUUGAUGGCCUUUUCUUCUUUCUUUUUUCUUUUGUGAUCCAUUCAGGCAAAUAAUGCAUAUAUUUUCCCUGGAUUCGGUUUAGGUUUGGUCAUCUCUGGUGCAAUUUGUGUACAUGAUGAAAUGCUUCUGGCAGCCUGUAAGUACACUACAUAUAACAUAAUUAGAUAUAUUAUAAACUGAAUACAAUUUACUUGCUAAUUGAAAAGAAAGGAAUUCUUUCCUUUAUUUUAUUUCAUUUUACUUUGCUUUAUUUUUUUUUUCCAUUUCCUUUGGUCACAUAUCUAUAUAGGGCAUCAAUAAUGAAUAAACUCUUAGAAAAAGUUUUGAGAUGUUUACUCAGAUUCCAAUAGAAUGUAAACUAAAUGACACCUUGUGUUUGUUUUAUUCCCUUGAUGUGUGAUCUAGUUUUGUUAGGGCGAUUUGGCUCAAUGGUAAGGCUUGCCAUUAGCAUCCCUAGUAGCACAGGUUUGAGUCAUAGACAUAGUCUCUUCAAAAAUGAAAGAAAGACUGUGUACAUCUUAUCCUCUCUAGAUCCCUGUUUUAGCAGAAGCUUCAUACACUACGCCGCCCAUAAUCAUGUGCGAAGCACAAUGGAAAACAUUUGGCAAAACCUAUUUAAUUGAAGUUACUUCUAUGCAAACGGGCAUGACAAAUAGCUAGAAUGGUUCACCUUUGUAUCUAAACCAUCUACUCUCCUUUGUAACAGCAAAGGCUUUGGCUGGGCAAGUAACAAAAGAGAACUUCGACAAGGGUUUGAUCUAUCCACCAUUCUCUAAUAUCAGAAAGAUCUCGGCCCGCAUUUGUUGUUGAUGUAGCUACUAAAGAAUAUGAACUUGGUGAGUUAGUGAGUGUACCUUUGGAAGUCCAUUUGGUUCAUCUAGAGUGGGAAGAACAUUCACAAAAGAGGUGAUUGAGGCCAUGGCCUCCUUCAAUGAGGGACAUGCAAUUUUUGCCAGUGGAAGUCCAAUUGACCCUGUCGAAUACAAUGGCAAACUCUAUCUACCUGGCCAGUGAUCAAUUCAGGUAAAUAAUGCAUAUAUUUUCCCUAGAUUUGGUUUGGGUUUGGUCAUCUCUAGUGCAAUUUGUGCACACGAUGAAAUGCUUCUGGCAACCUGUAAGUGCACUACAUAUUACAUAAUUAGAUACAUUAUAAGUUGAAUACAAUUUACUUGCUAAUUGAAGAGCAAGGAAUUCAUUCCUUUAAUUUAUUUCAUUUUACCUAUGCUUUAUUAUUUUUUUCCCUUUCCCUGGUCACAUAGCUAUGCAAGUCAUAAAUAAUGAAUCGACACUCUUUAGAAAAAGUUCUGAGAUGUUUACUCAGAUUCCAAUAGAAUGUAAACUCAAAAAACACCUUGUGUUUGUUUUAUUCCCUUGAUGUGUGAUCUGGUUCUGUAAGGGCGAUUUGCCAUUAGCAUCCCUGGUGGCGCAGGUUCAAGUCAUUGAAACAGUCUCUGUACAUCUUGCCCUCUCUAGAUAUCCUUUUAACAUAAGUUUUUUACACUGGGUUGCCCAUAAUCAUGUGUGAAGCACUAUGGAAAACUUUUGGUGAAACCUAUUAAAUUGUAUUUCCAGGCGAUACGCACGACAAAUAGAUAGAAUGGUUAACCUUUGUAUCUGAAUCAUCUACUUUCCUUUGUAACAGCAGAGGCUUUGGCUGAGCAAGUAACAAAAGAGAAUUUGGGCAAGGGUUUGAUCUAUCCACCAUUUUCUAAUAUUAGAAAGAUCUCUGGCCACAUUGCUGCUAAUGUGGCUGCUAAAGCAUAUGAACUUGGUGAGUUAGUAAGUGUACCUUUGGUUGCUUCAUGUGUCUUUCCUCCGCUGUAAUUGCCCCUUGAAGCAUGUUUAUUUUUAUGACUUUCACAAUGUUUCCUAGGGUUGGCAACACGUCUCCCUCGGCCUGAUAUUCUGGUGAAGUACGCUGAAAGCUACAUGUAUACUCCCAAUUACAGAAGCUUCCGAUGAAUUGUUGAAUUGUGAGCAGAAACUAUGGCUAGUAGUUAAUGUAGU